AUACGGAGGGUGCAAGCGUUAUUCGGAAUCACUGGGCGUAAAGGGCGCGUAGGCGGGUUGGCAAGUCAGAUGUGAAAUCCUACAGCUUAACUGUAGAACUGCAUUUGAAACUGCUAACCUAGAGUAUGGGAGGGGGAGAUGGAAUUAGUGGUGUAGGGGUAAAAUCCGUAGAUAUCACUAGGAAUACCGAAAGCGAAGGCGAUCUCCUGGAACAUAACUGACGCUAAGGCGUGAAAGCGUGGGGAGCAAACAGGAUUAGAUACCCUAGUAGUCC
rnacentral:rRNA from 1 species